UUUCGAAUCAUUCACAAUGGGCGAAAGCCUGAUGGUGCGACGCCGCGUGAGGGAUGAAGGUCUUCGGAUUGUAAACCUCUGUCACCGGGGAAGAAACGCUUUGAGCUAACAGUUCAAAGCCUGACUUAACCCGGAGAGGAAGCAGUGGCUAACUCUGUGCCAGCAGCCGCGGUAAUACAGAGACUGCAAGCGUUAUUCGGAUUCACUGGGCGUAAAGGGUGCGCAGGCGGCUAUGUGUGUGAGGUGUGAAAGCCCGGGGCUUAACCCCGGAAUUGCACCUCAAACUACAUGGCUAGAGCAUUGGAGAGGGUAGCAGAAUUCAUGGUGUAGCAGUGAAAUGCGUAGAUAUCAGGAGGAAUACCAGAGGCGAAGGCGGCUACCUGGACAAUUGCUGACGCUCUGGCACGAAAGCGUGGGGAGCAAAAG
rnacentral:rRNA from 1 species